rnacentral:lncRNA from 1 species
AUGGCAAGAGCAGCACUUACUAAACUUCUUCUCCUCGUGAUUCUUGCCUUCAUCAUCUGCCUCCCGGAAUUUUUCACAUUUUACCAAGUAACAAAAGUGAACUUCUUCUGCCGUCCGUACCGACCCUGCGAACAAGUAAAUCGGGUGAAGGAGGGGGAAAAUGCAAAGGCUGGAAAUGUUGACGCUAAGAGAGGCCAUAUGUGUGACCCAUCUCAGACUCCAGAUCAGGAAAAAUGGGAGCAGGCGUGCACACAAGAAGAUCAAAGCAAUGCAACAGAUUCGUCUUCAGACGUCAGGAGAGGCAUAAAUGAUCCAAAAGCGAGGUGGUUCAUGUGUGAGACAGACAUGGAAAUGGCAGAAGUACACAGAAAUAUCUCAACUUCAGCUUACGAGUCACGUCUGGAGGUGUCAGCUGAGCUUCGUCUGCCCAACGCAGAGACCCUGAAUCUCACCUUGUACGGCCGCAGCAAUCAGAGUUCCUUACACCUCUACCCACCUGAGGAGGAGGAGGAAGAGAAGGGUGGUGAUGAAGGACAGAGGAAGGCAUUCUACUGCUGUCUCCCUCUCCUGCCCAACUCUGAAUCGGCCAAUCAAAGCCGCUGUCUCCUUUGGUUCGCCAAUCAAACGGUUUGGAAUUCAACAGCAAAGGAAAAGCUGCCAUGGAAACGGAAACAAAAAGAUGAGUGGCAGUGUACGCUCAGAGUGGUCUGGCUGGCUCUGCUGUGUUUGGUGUUGCUGAGCAUAGUAACGAGUGUGAUCGGACAAAUCUACAAGAAAAGGCGUUUGUGCAGGAAGCCGAAGGUGCACCCUGAUGGCUUCAACUUAAUUACUCAGCAAUUAAAUGACGGUGCCAAAGAAAAAGAAGUCAGCCCUCCUGAAGCAGGGACAAACCUCCACUCAUACGGGUUUCAUACCUGGUCAGGACUCUCACCAAUUAAAGAAGUUGACAGUCAACAUGACAUAUCAACGUUGAUGGAUGGAAAUGCUGACCACUGCUAUACUGGUUUUCUGCAUCAUCGCAGCCAUCCCUCCGUCAGCUCCAUCAAAGACGAGCAGGCUCGAUGA